ACUCUACUCCCUCCUUCGAACAAAAAAUGUCUCAAGUUUGUUAAAAUUUGUGGAUGUAUUUAAACAUGACUUAAUGUUUAGGUGCAUUCAAAUUUGGUUACAUUUGAGACAUUCUUUGUUAAAGGGAGGGAAUAGUUU
rnacentral:pre_miRNA from 1 species